GGCUGCCUGGCUCAAUGGUAGAGCGUUGCUCUCCUACUGCAACUCAUUAAGCAAAGGUUGGGGGUUCGAGUCCCCCGGUGGUCG
rfam:Aspergillus zonatus CBS 506.65 unplaced genomic scaffold ASPZOscaffold_1, whole genome shotgun sequence.